UACAGAGGGGGCAAGCGUUGUUCGGAAUUACUGGGCGUAAAGGGCGCGUAGGUGGCCUGCUAAGUCGAACGUGAAAUCCCCGGGCUCAACCCGGGAACUGCGUCCGAUACUGGCAGGCUUGAAUUCGGGAGAGGGAUGCGGAAUUCCAGGUGUAGCGGUGAAAUGCGUAGAUAUCUGGAGGAACACCGGUGGCGAAGGCGGCAUCCUGGACCGAUAUUGACGCUGAUGCGCGAAAGCCAGGGGAGCAAACGGGAUUAGAAACCCCCGUAGUCC
rnacentral:rRNA from 1 species